GGUGACAUGGCCGAGCGGUCUAAGGCGCUAGAAUCAGGUGUUGUUAACCCUCAUCUAGUCCGAAAGGGCGGGAGUUCGAAUCUCCCUGUCAUCA